rnacentral:rRNA from 1 species
GACUAUUGCGAUGGGGGGACGGAGAAGGCUAGGUGGGCCAGGCGACGGUUGUCCUGGUUCAAGUGCGUAGGCUUGAGAGUUAGGUAAAUCCGGCUCUCUCUAAGGCUGAGACACGACGUCGAGCUACUACGGUAGUGAAGUCAUUGAUGCCAUGCUUCCAGGAAAAGCCUCUAAGCUUCAGAUAGUCAGGAAUCGUACCCCAA